rnacentral:rRNA from 1 species
GAUGAACGCUGGCGGCGUGCCUAAUACAUGCAAGUCGAGCGAACGGACGAGAAGCUUGCUUCUCUGAUGUUAGCGGCGGACGGGUGAGUAACACGUGGAUAACCUACCUAUAAGACUGGGAUAACUUCGGGAAACCGGAGCUAAUACCGGAUAAUAUUUUGAACCGCAUGGUUCAAAAGUGAAAGACGGUCUUGCUGUCACUUAUAGAUGGAUCCGCGCUGCAUUAGCUAGUUGGUAAGGUAACGGCUUACCAAGGCAACGAUGCAUAGCCGACCUGAGGGGGUGAUCGGCCACACUGGAACUGAGACACGGUCCAGACUCCUACGGGAGGCAGCAGUAGGGAACCUUCCGCAAUGGGCGAAAGCCUGACGGAGCAACGCCGCGUGAGUGAUGAAGGUCUUCGGAUCGUAAAACUCUGUUAUUAGGGAAGAACAUAUGUGUAAGUAACUGUGCACAUCUUGACGGUACCUAAUCAGAAAGCCACGGCUAACUACGUG